UUUUAACACAAUUUCAAUUUGUAUUGUUAUUAAUAUUUCAAGUUUGAAUAGAGUUUUAUAUUUCAUUAGUUUAUACUUCUUUAACAAUGAACGAUUUUUAAGAACAAAUUAUAAUAUUUCAUAUGUUUUGUUUCAGUUUUUCAUAAUUUCUACUUUUUCCUGUGCUUCGGAAAGGACGCAGUGAUGCUUCAGAACUAAGCAUGUUUAUCACUCCUUCUUCUUCCUCCUGCUUCCUGAAAAGGACCUAGUGGUGCUUCAAAAGCCAAGGAUUGUUUUCCAUGAUGGGAUUGCAUGACUCCUCCUUGAUAACGAUCUUCACGAUGACUUUUCCUGGGCUACCAUGGCAUCGAUGACUACAUUUCUCGCAUCUUAUCGUGAGUCACAUGCAUUUUUGUCCCUCUGGUCACUCAAUCAUGUCGUAGGACGAAAGGUCCGAAUCGACACGGGUGAUUGGUUGUAUUACGUAGAAUUUUUUGCGAGCACAGUGACCGUGGGUAUUUAUUAUACCCGUAAGUAGUAACAUUUUCUUUUUCUAUGUAUUAUUUAUUAGUUCAGGAUAGAUCUUCUUGCAUAUCGCGUUUUUGUUUAUGUUAUUUACAUGAUAAUGAACUAUUUUAUAUUGACAAUAUUAAUAAUACUACUAACUGAUAAAAAUGAUAUUAUAUUAACAGUUAAUUUGAA